CCCACUCCUCGACCUCUAGAAAAAAAACUCCUACCCUCGACCAGAUCUGAUCCGGCGCCGGCCGCCCUCCACCCAACCAUUGCCGUCGUCGCGCCCCACCACCACAGCCCUGCCGUCGGCCACCACCCCGACCAACGCCGCUAUCGCCCCAACCACCCCACAACAGCGCCAGCAAGCACCGCCGCCCCCAACCGUCCCACUGCCGUCGGCCGUCCUCAACCCAGCCGCAACCGUCGUCGGCCCCCACCACUACAGCCCCGCCGUUGGCCCCUACCACGCCACCGCCCAUGACUGCCCUCCACCCAACCACUGCGGUCGUCGCCCCGAACCACCCCACAGUAGCACCGCCGAGCACCCAACUGACACAGAUAACCACUGCCGACGAGCCACUCCACCGGCGACCACCCUCCUCCGCUGAACGCCUUCCCUCGUGACCGCCCUAUUUCGCGAGCUUCCUCCCCCGAGUAGGACUCCUCCCUAAGCCGAUGGAGCCAGGAGUUCUUUGAAUGGGAUUGGUGAAUGCAAUAGUGUUGGUGAGGGUUCUGAUUUAAUCCUUUUGAACCUCAAAGAGGCUGUUAGCCUAAAUAAAUCUUUGCUCCAGGUAACCUAACUUCUAUAGCUUUGGUAUUUAGGCUUCUGUUGCAUCAGGGGCAAACAAGUGCUAUCUUGUUUGAGUUUUACUUUCCUAUAUUGCAGAGAGCUUGAUUGUAGGACUAAACAUUUUACAAAGAUUUUCUCCAAACAAAUAAAUAGAAAUAUUACAUGGACGCAUAUUGGCUAUACACACUGGUACAAUUAGACAGGGUUCACUUAAAUAUAACUGUGCUUGUUGAAUUGUAAUAACUGUGGCAUUAGGUGAACUGUACC